UGACGAACGCUGGCGGCGUGCCUAAUACAUGCAAGUCGAACGAACUCUGGUAUUGAUUGGUGCUUGCAUCAUGAUUUACAUUUGAGUGAGUGGCGAACUGGUGAGUAACACGUAGGAAACCUGCCCAGAAGCGGGGGAUAACACCUGGAAACAGAUGCUAAUACCGCAUAACAACUUGGACCGCAUGGUCCGAGUUUGAAAGAUGGCUUCGGCUAUCACUUUUGGAUGGUCCCGCGGCGUAUUAGCUAGAUGGUGGGGUAACGGCUCACCAUGGCAAUGAUACGUAGCCGACCUGAGAGGGUAAUCGGCCACAUUGGGACUGAGACACGGCCCAAACUCCUACGGGAGGCAGCAGUAGGGAAUCUUCCACAAUGGACGAAAGUCUGAUGGAGCAACGCCGCGUGAGUGAAGAAGGGUUUCGGCUCGUAAAACUCUGUUGUUAAAGAAGAACAUAUCUGAGAGUAACUGUUCAGGUAUUGACGGUAUUUAACCAGAAAGCCACGGCUAACUACGUGCCAGCAGCCGCGGUAAUACGUAGGUGGCAAGCGUUGUCCGGAUUUAUUGGGCGUAAAGCGAGCGCAGGCGGUUUUUUAAGUCUGAUGUGAAAGCCUUCGGCUCAACCGAAGAAGUGCAUCGGAAACUGGGAAACUUGAGUGCAGAAGAGGACAGUGGAACUCCAUGUGUAGCGGUGAAAUGCGUAGAUAUAUGGAAGAACACCAGUGGCGAAGGCGGCUGUCUGGUCUGUAACUGACGCUGAGGCUCGAAAGUAUGGGUAGCAAACAGGAUUAGAUACCCUGGUAGUCCAUACCGUAAACGAUGAAUGCUAAGUGUUGGAGGGUUUCCGCCCUUCAGUGCUGCAGCUAACGCAUUAAGCAUUCCGCCUGGGGAGUACGGCCGCAAGGCUGAAACUCAAAGGAAUUGACGGGGGCCCGCACAAGCGGUGGAGCAUGUGGUUUAAUUCGAAGCUACGCGAAGAACCUUACCAGGUCUUGACAUACUAUGCAAAUCUAAGAGAUUAGACGUUCCCUUCGGGGACAUGGAUACAGGUGGUGCAUGGUUGUCGUCAGCUCGUGUCGUGAGAUGUUGGGUUAAGUCCCGCAACGAGCGCAACCCUUAUUAUCAGUUGCCAGCAUUAAGUUGGGCACUCUGGUGAGACUGCCGGUGACAAACCGGAGGAAGGUGGGGAUGACGUCAAAUCAUCAUGCCCCUUAUGACCUGGGCUACACACGUGCUACAAUGGAUGGUACAACGAGUUGCGAACUCGCGAGAGUAAGCUAAUCUCUUAAAGCCAUUCUCAGUUCGGAUUGUAGGCUGCAACUCGCCUACAUGAAGUCGGAAUCGCUAGUAAUCGCGGAUCAGCAUGCCGCGGUGAAUACGUUCCCGGGCCUUGUACACACCGCCCGUCACACCAUGAGAGUUUGUAACACCCAAAGUCGGUGGGGUAACCUUUUAGGAACCAGCCGCCUAAGGUGGGACAGAUGAUUAGGGUG
rnacentral:rRNA from 1 species